UUCUGAAUAGAACACCAACAGUACAGAUACUGAAAGACCCCCGAAGGGAGCCCCCCACUCAAGUCUCGGGAAAGACGCGCACCCAGUAGGACACAGACACCG
rnacentral:pre_miRNA from 14 species